rnacentral:lncRNA from 1 species
UUGCUAGAAGUCCUGAAGUAUAGAUUCAGAUAUGACUUAUCAUACAAUAGGCUCUUGUCAUUCCAGUCUUCAGGAUUCUUGUGUCUGAGAGGAAAGACAUUGUUACUUGCAUGCAGAGUGAAAAAAAACUAAUAUGUUGUAAGUAAUUUUUAUUAUUUGCUUGAUAAUACACAGGUGUUAUCUUCAACACUUUCUGUUAUGUUUGCCAUGUUAAAAUGACUUGUCUUUGAGCAGGCUAUAUUUUAUGUAUCUUUAGCUUCCCAGGAUGUAACAUAUUUUUUUUAAUCUUGUCAUAAAUGAAUAUUUGUGAUUUUUAAAUUUUCGUUUGAUAGGAAUCAUCAGGACAGCCCUUCCCAAUAUGUCCAGAGAAGCCAAGGAGGAGUACCAUGUGGUGAUCCAGGCUAAGGACAUGGGUGGACACAUGGGUGUACUCUCAGGGACAACCAGUGUGACGAUCACUCUGACUGAUGUCAACGACAACUCAGCAAAGUUUCCACAGAGAUCUUCUAGCUUUAAACACACCCACCACUUGGAGGGAAGCAAAAAUUCCAAAGAACACAGUUUGGGAAACACUGACCAGUAAGAAAGUCUCCAGUUUUGUGCCAGGAGCCUGUGAAGAGUCCCUCAUCCUAGCUACCUGGAAGCCGGUAUUCUGCUAGCAUCCUUCAGAUGAAGAUGUAGAACACUCAGCUCCUCCUGCAUCAUGCCUGCCUGGAUGCUGCCAUGUUCCCGCCUUGAUGAUACUGGAUUGAACCUCUGAACCUGUAAGUCAGCCCCAAUUAAAUGAGUGUUGCGUUGGUCAUGGUGUCUGUUCACAGCAGUAAGACCCUAACUAAGACAGUAUUCUUUAUCCUGUCAGGCCCAUUCAGUUCAUGGCUUUCCACACAGUUCCAAAAUGGACCCUCCAAUUAUGGACCAGCUCUGGUUUCUGGCAUGUUCUCAGGUUUAGCUGCUUGGAACAGUUCUAUCAUUCAAUGUCUUCCCCUUUCCACCCUUCAGACAUCAGCUAUUAUUUAUAAGAAACCUUCCUCUUAAGUAUCUCAUGACCGCAGUCCUCUCUCUAAUCCCCACCUCCACCUUUCUCCUGGGGCUUUUUCACAACCCAGGCCAGUCUUGAGGUCAAACUUAGCUGUCCUCUCACUCUCAAGACUCCAGUCUGGUUGCCAUAGUGAUCUGUCCCUUAUGCAAACCUGGGCACAUCACUUGCAGAUCUAAUACCCCUCUACCUGUGGAAAUAUUUUCCCAGGACCCUCAGAACCAAGGGACCUCCCACCUCCAUGGGAGCUCAGGAGGGAUGGGGGGGAUGUGUGUCAGACCUCGAGGGUCUUUUACUGCAGGUUCUACUUGUAUGGUCUUACAGGGACAGAGGAGAGGUUUAAAAUGACCAAGGGUGCACCCUGUCCUACCUGCCCCUUGCUCCUGCACCCCUGAAGCAGGGCUCUCUGGUGGCCUUGAGUCAUGGAUGGGGUAUGGGAUAAACAUGAGACAGCUCCCUUCUUGUAGGAGCGAGGUUUGUUUGUCUUGGAACACUUCCUGCAAGAUUGGAAACAGGGAAGGACACAACAACUGCGCCCUCUUCAGGCCAAGAACAGUAGGUUCACUUGCACAGUGAGGCCUCCUGCCCUUGGUUCAGUUAGCACUUGGCUCAGAUAGUGAGCAGGCUCCCUCUCUUUUAAAACACAUCGCUGGCCUGGAGGUGGUGGCGCACGCCUUUAAUCCCAGCACUUGGGAGGCAGAGGCAGGCGAAUUUCUGAGUUCGAGGCCAGCCUGGUCUACACAGUGAGUUCUAGGACAGCCAGAGCUACACAGAGAAAUACUGCCUCGAAAAACGGAAAAACAACAACAACAACAAAAAGAAUACAGUUGAUAAUGCAAAACAAACAAAACCAAAAAACACAUCGCUGAAGAGUGACAUGCACUCUGUGAGUUUAUAGAACUUAAAUAUAUGGUUCAGUGGGGGCGGGGGGAAUACAUUCCUAAUCACCCGGAAGUUGCCUGAUGUCCCUGCCAAGUCCACAUCCACACUUUCCCAGCCAGAGGUGCCCAUGAGACGGACCAUGCCGAUUCUUCUUGAGAGUUAUGGAGCUGUGUAUAAACAGGGUCUCCAGGCCCAGAUCCGCUGUGUACAGGUUCUUUCUCAGCAUCGUGCCUGUGCAACUUCUUUGUAGUGACUGUGUGGAUUUUUAACUUGCUGGGAAAUACUCCAUUAUGUGUUAUAUACAAUGCAACCUGGUACCUUUUGUUUACCCAGCUUUCCGUUUGUACUUGGGCUUUUUUCUUCUUCUUCUCCUGUGUGGGGGCAAUUACAGAUAGGGCAUUUCCUCCACUCAGGGCUUCUGUUCCAUGCCUGGCAUUGUCCUAUUGUGUUCCGAUCCUGGCCGUCUGUCCUGCUUUCCUCCCUCUCUGGGCACCUAUUUGGCUGCUGGGACUUAGGGUGUUUGACCUGGACCUGUGAUGGUCCUAUGGGGUCUCACACUACCUUGGAAGGCCAAGCUGUGGCUCUUAAUCCCUUAGAGCUGUGGCUCUAAGCUGUGACAGUCUUAGUCUGGGGAGACUAAGACCUGCUUCAUGCGCUUGCUUCUCUAUUCUUGCUGAUGCUAACAUCUGUGGGCCACCUUUUAGCACUGGUUGCUCUUGCCUAACUCUUGUCUGCAUCCCUUGGCUGUCAGCCAUUGGGAGGCUGCUUGUAUGCCUCCAAUGAGCCUUCAAGGAUGCUUCUGGAACUGGGAUAUUUAUCAGAGACAGAUCAGGAAAGCCAGCACCAUUAGACAUGCAGCUCUGUGCUGCCUUGGGGACACAUUCUUGGCUGUCUUCCCAAAACGUUCGUGGUGUGGUACUGUCUGUCGGUAUUAACAAGCAUGGGUGUCCCUAAAUGUUUUUAUCUUUGUGUGUGUGUGUGUGUGUGUGCUUGGGUGCACACAUCUAGUAGUAUAUGCAUUCCUGCAUAUAAGUAUGCAUUUAUUUGACUUGUAUGUUAUCAUAAAAUAUUUUCUCUUAGCUAGGCAUGAUGGUGUGUGUGUAUAAUCUCGGAGUCCAGGAGGCUGGGGCAGGUAGGUAAAAGGCCAGCCUGGGCUACAGAACAAGACCGAGUCUCAAGAAAACAGCACAAAACAAUAAAUAUGAGAUUUCUCCUAAACAGUGUGGUUUUGUUUUAAAGGUAUCUUCUCCACUUCCUUCCUUGUCCCCUCAAAGAUCUUGACUAACAUCAAGGCAACACCUUCUUUGUAGAUGGAAGAGCAGUUGGGCUGUCAGCUGCUCAAACCGUUUUGUUCUGUAACCGCGUUUGAAAACGAUGUGAGGAAGAAUAAACAACCGUGAAUGUGGAGUCAAGGAGACCUGAGGGUGAAGCCCAGCUUGGCUGCCUGCCUGCUGUGGACCUUGGACAAAUUGCAUGGCAAUUCUGGGUCCCUGGUCUCCUCUUCUGACACACCAUGACCUGGUGUAAUGUGGGACGCCCGACUUGCCUGCAAGUAAGACUCCACAACAGGAUCCUUCUGCAACACGUUUAUUGGGAGAGCAUGGACUGCGUAGGCGAAAGACCCCGAGCCCCAGA